CUAAGGAGCUCGAGGGUCUAUAUAUUAAGGGGAAGAGUGUGAAAAGGAAGUGGCUAUAAACGUCUCUGAUGAGGAAGGAACAAUGUCAUGUGGCCUUACAGCAAGGAGUCGGUGAGGUUUUAAAUUAUUUGGCCGAAUUGGAAUUACUGCUGCUUAUGGGUUAAUUUAGAAGAUUAAAUUUGUUUGACUUAUGGUAUGGAGAUUGAGCAACAAUGGUACUUUUAUAU
rnacentral:lncRNA from 1 species